rnacentral:rRNA from 1 species
UACGGAGGGUGCAAGCGUUGUUCGGAAUCACUGGGCGUAAAGCGACCGCAGGCGGCCUGCCAAGUCGGAUGUGAAAGCCCUGGGCUCAACUCAGGAAUUGCAUUCGAAACUGGUAGGCUCGAGUACGGGAGAGGGGGGUGGAAUUCCUGGUGUAGGGGUGAAAUUCGUUGAUAUCAGGAGGAACACCGGCGGCGAAGGCGGCCCCCUGGCCCGCAACUGACGCUCAGGGUCGAAAGCGUGGGGAGCAAACAGG